GCGAACGCUGGCGGCAGGCCUAACACAUGCAAGUCGCACGAACUCUUCGGAGUUAGUGGCGGACGGGUGAGUAACACGUGGGAACGUGCCUUUUGGUUUGGAAUAACUCAGGGAAACUUGUGCUAAUACCGAAUGUGCCCUUCGGGGGAAAGAUUUAUCGCCAUUAGAGCGGCCCGCGUCUGAUUAGCUAGUUGGUGAGGUAACGGCUCACCAAGGCGACGAUCAGUAGCUGGUCUGAGAGGAUGACCAGCCACACUGGGACUGAGACACGGCCCAGACUCCUACGGGAGGCAGCAGUGGGGAAUCUUGCGCAAUGGGCGAAAGCCUGACGCAGCCAUGCCGCGUGAAUGAUGAAGGUCUUAGGAUUGUAAAAUUCUUUCACCGGGGACGAUAAUGACGGUACCCGGAGAAGAAGCCCCGGCUAACUUCGUG
rnacentral:rRNA from 1 species